GAUGAACGCUGGCGGCGUGCCUAAUACAUGCAAGUCGAACGCUUCACUUCGGUGAAGAGUGGCGAACGGGUGAGUAAUACAUAAGUAACCUGGCAUCUACAGGGGGAUAACUGAUGGAAACGUCAGCUAAGACCGCAUAGGUGUAGAGAUCGCAUGAACUCUAUAUGAAAAGUGCUACGGGACUGGUAGAUGAUGGACUUAUGGCGCAUUAGCUUGUUGGUAGGGUAACGGCCUACCAAGGCGACGAUGCGUAGCCGACCUGAGAGGGUGACCGGCCACACUGGGACUGAGACACGGCCCAGACUCCUACGGGAGGCAGCAGUAGGGAAUUUUCGGCAAUGGGGGAAACCCUGACCGAGCAACGCCGCGUGAAGGAAGAAGUAAUUCGUUAUGUAAACUUCUGUCAUAGAGGAAGAACGGUGGAUAUAGGGAAUGAU
rnacentral:rRNA from 1 species